rnacentral:rRNA from 1 species
UACGUAGGGAGCAAGCGUUGUUCGGAUUUACUGGGCGUAAAGGGCGCGUAGGCGGCGCGGUAAGUCACUUGUGAAAUCUCUGAGCUUAACUCAGAACGGCCAAGUGAUACUGCAGUGCUAGAGUGCAGAAAGGGCAAUCGGAAUUCUUGGUGUAGCGGUGAAAUGCGUAGAUAUCAAGAGGAACACCUGAGGCGAAGGCGGGUUGCUAGGCCGACACUGACGCUGAGUGCGCGAAAGCCAGGGGAGCAAACGGG